CCUACGGGAGGCAGCAGUGAGGAAUAUUGGUCAAUGGACGAGAGUCUGAACCAGCCAAGUAGCGUGAAGGAUGACUGCCCUAUGGGUUGUAAACUUCUUUUAUAUGGGAAUAAAACGUUCCACGUGUGGGAUUUUGUAUGUACCAUAUGAAUAAGGAUCGGCUAACUCCGUGCCAGCAGCCGCGGUAAUACGGAGGAUCCGAGCGUUAUCCGGAUUUAUUGGGUUUAAAGGGAGCGUAGGUGGAUUGUUAAGUCAGUUGUGAAAGUUUGCGGCUCAACCGUAAAAUUGCAGUUGAAACUGGCAGUCUUGAGUACAGUAGAGGUGGGCGGAAGUCGUGGUGUAGCGGUGAAAUGCUUAGAUAGCACGAAGAACUCCGAUUGCGAAGGCAGUUCACUGGACUGCAACUGACACUGAGGCUCGAAAGUGUGGGUAUCAAACAGGAUUAGAUACCCUAGUAGUC
rnacentral:rRNA from 1 species